GGGUCAUUAGCUCAGCUGGUAGAGCAGCUGACUCUUAAUCAGCCUGUCCGGGGUUCGAAUCCCUGAUGGCCCACCA
rnacentral:tRNA from 1 species